rnacentral:rRNA from 1 species
UAGGGAAUCUUCGGCAAUGGGGGGAACCCUGACCGAGCAACGCCGCGUGAGUGAAGAAGGUUUUCGGAUCGUAAAGCUCUGUUGUUAAGGAAGAACGAGUGUGAGAAUGGAAAGUUCAUGCUGUGACGGUACUUAACCAGAAAGGGACGGCUAACUACGUGCCAGCAGCCGCGGUAAUACGUAGGUCCCGAGCGUUGUCCGGAUUUACUGGGCGUAAAGCGCACGUAGGCGGACUUUUAAGUCAGGGGUGAAAUCCCGGGGCUCAACCCCGGAACUGCCUUUGAUACUGGAAGUCUUGAGUAUGGUAGAGGUGAGUGGAAUUCCGAGUGUAGAGGUGAAAUUCGUAGAUAUUCGGAGGAACACCAGUGGCGAAGGCGGCUCACUGGACCAUUACUGACGCUGAGGUGCGAAAGCGUGGGGAGCAAACAGG